GUCAGUAUUUGUGAGAGCGUUGAAACAGGACAUUGAAAUCUAACUUCUUGAACAAUUGCUCUCCUUAUUUUUCCUACAUCAUAUUCAAAGAGAAAUCUAUACUAAUACUGGGAUCAGCCUGAGACCAGCAGGACCUUUCUUAGAACUGCAGAUAACUAUUUUUUAUAACUAUUGAUAGUUAUGAAACUAGUUGAUACAAUUUGAUAUGCUAUUGAUAACUAUUGGUAACUAUUGAUAACUAUUUUUGAUAACUAUUUGGUAACUAUUUUUUACUAGGUUAUUUAUUUAAUAAAUUUGAUAACUACUUUUUACUUUUUCAGUCUUGUCUCUAUUUACAAACAGUAAAGAGUACAAGAUGCAAGGAAAGGUACCAAAGAGCUGGAUUAAAAACCGGGGAUUGUAGAUAGUGGAUUUCUGUGCUGAAGGCCUGUAAGAAAAUACCCACCAUCCUGCAAGAAGGGCUGAAGAGGCACAGAAAUAUUUAGGUCAAAAUCCACAGCUGGAAUUUUAACUUACUGAAUUGACAGCCUCUAAAUGGUGACCUGGCUUAGAGAGUUAAAGCACAAAAAGUUAAUGUGUCAGGUUCCUAGAGCAGUUAUGAUAAGAUAUAAGCUGUGCAGCUGCACUUCCAUCUAGACUGUUGUGUAAUGUUCUUUAUUUCUGAUCCCACUGAUCAUCUCUUGGUUCAGCUUUUUGCAACAGCUUUUCCUGGGAACCUCUUCCCUGCAAAAACCAGCAAAUAAACAUAUCCUGUGACAGCUAUUUUGAUUUAGUUACUAGUUGUUACUUAUGAACUACUUCCUGACAAGCAUUUGUGACAUGCUUUUUUUCACAAUUUUUCUUUUCAGUCCCUUCACUCUCAUAAAGAAAAUUCAACUUUGGUUUUCUAUAGAUGUGUCAUAGAAAUGAGUUAUGAGGCUGAGCUCUGGGGAAACCUUCUGGAGCAAAGUGAAAGGGUUACCAUCAGCCCAGGAGUUUUCCAUCAAAGAGCACUUAAUGAUUGAAUCCAGUGGGAAUUUUCCUGUGAAUAAGAACUACAGAAUCUGAACGAUGCUGCAAUAGUUCCUCUUGAUCUGCUGAAUUCCAUCCUGCAUGAGUUGCAUCUCAAUCUGUGGCAGAAGAAGCUCUUCAGCUGCUUGUGGUUCCUCCCCUAUUUGUAUAACUUAAACAGUACCUUCAAGACAUACCAGGCUGCUCUUGCAUAUCAUCAGGAUUAUUUUUUUUAACUUUCUGCACAUAAAACUGCAAGAUAAUGAUGUCUUUCUAUACAGAAUGGUAGUAGGGAGUACAAAGAAAUUAAUUUCUUCUUAUGUACCUUCAAAAAGUGUCUUGUGUCAAUGUUUUAAAGCAUUGUCUGUGAAUUUGAGGGUCAGGAAAACACUUAGGAUUCAGAAAGACAGGAAUGGCAGUGGUAAAGCCUGUAACAAAACUUCAAUAAAAUCAUAGCAGAGUAGAAGUUCCAGCUUCCAAAUCAACUGCUAUACUUGUAAUUUAUGUGGAAAUUAGGCUUCUUUGGAUUCAAAUUCUAUUGUAAAAUUCAUCACUUCUGUAUGUUGCUAGAGCCAGUACAUAAAUCAGAGGAUCACAGAGGAUAAAGGGAUGCCUUGCUUUGAUAAAAAAAUGAAGCUGGAACUACUCUGCCAGUCUGCCUUAUGGCCAUAUUGUCACAUGGUUUUCCACAGGUGAAAUUCUUCUCAAAACCAGUUUAUUUUAAUUUUUCUUGAUUUUGCUUCUUUACCUAACUACACAUAUUUUUUUAGGCUAUAUCCAGCAAGAGAUUUUCUCACCCAGUUUACAGUGUUCUCAGGUUUCAUAUACCUGUGUCUAAAGCUGGGCUGCAGCUGAGGCUUUCACACUGCUGAGUACACUUCUGAGUAUACUCCACAAUGCAUUUUUAAUGUUGAGUUUCCCCAAUGAUCAAAACAAAAUUUUCCCUUAUCUCCUUCCUUUCAAAGGUAUUCUCUAGACACUUUAAUGCAUCAUGCAGUGUACAACAGGAAUUGUUUUUUUUUUCUUUUACAUAACCUGAGGAAACACUUACACAAUCCCAAAACUUCUUUCUCUGCAAUCCUGACCUUGCAUGGGGGCAUCUUCUUCACAGGGUGUGUUCCCUGUGCUCCAAGGCCGGAAAACAAAGAAUUUUUCUAUAUUUGAUUUUUUUCCCCCAUUUGUAUAAUUUACCUGUGUGUAAGAAAAAAAGUCCAUUGAUCAAAGAUAGGAUUAGCACUUGAAUCCAGAAAGAAUCUUUUUUUCUAGUUUAUAACAGGGGUUUGGAAUGUUACUUUAGUUGUUCUGGAAUGCAAGGUGGCUUCCCAGUAAUGAGUGAAACCUCUGUAGCCCAAAGCAGACAAAACAGAUAAAUGUGGAUAUUUUGAGUUAACUCUUUUUUUUCUCUCUGCAUGAAUGCUAAAAUUCAUAUUUCUAUUGUAUGAUCCUGCCCUUCACUUUUGCGUUCUCACAACACCUGUUUGCUCAGAGAACAAGUUGCCUGCACUUUUCCCUGAAUGUGGAUGCACUUCUGUUUUGUGGGAUUAAAGGGAUCUGUGGUGAUACAUGAUGCUCUGAGCUGGAGCGUGUAUCUGUGUGUACUUGUGUUUUACUUCACACAAUCCUCUGUUUACAGUACCUGGUAGUAUUUUAGAAGUGAUAUCUAUUUCUUUUAAAUGAGUUAUGCUUUGUGAGGGAUGUUUACAUCCAGCAAACUGAGGUACCAUUGUAACUUCUCAGUUGUUCUAAUACAGUCUUCUUAAGAAAUUUAUU